AUUGAACGCUGGCGGCGUGCUUAACACAUGCAAGUCGAUCGGUAACAGGUGUAGCAAUACAUGCUGACGAGAGGCGGACGGGUGAGGAAUAUUUGGGAAUCUGCCCAUCAGCGGGGGACAACCCGGGGAAACUCGGGCUAAUACCGCAUACGCUCUACGGAGGAAAGCCGGGGACCGCAAGGCCGGGCACCGAUGGAUGAGCCCAAAUCGGAUUAGCUAGUUGGCGGGGUAACGGCCCACCAAGGCGACGAUCCGUAGCUGGUGCUGAGAGGACUAUCAGCCACACCGGAACUGAGACACGGUCCGGACUCCUACGGGAGGCAGCAGUGGGGAAUAUUGGACAAUGGGGGAAACCCUGAUCCAGCGACGCCGCGUGGGUGAAGAAGGCCUGCGGGUUGUAAAGCCCUUUCGGUAGGGAAGAAAUCUCUUGUCUUAACACGGCAGGAGUUUGACUUAACCUACAUAAGAAGCACCGGCUAACUCUGUGCCAGCCGCCGCGGUAAGAC
rnacentral:rRNA from 1 species